AAGUGUAUAGGAUAGAAAGUCCUUCUUAUUGUCAAUAAGAUAGUGUCGAGAGGGCUCACUUAAGGGAUUUA
rnacentral:tRNA from 1 species